GAGAGAGCAGGAAAGCGAAAGAGAGAGAGAAGCCUGAAAAAGUGGCACAAAAUAGCUGGAAAUGCAUUUGGGCUGACAUAAUUCCCCUUUCCCACAGUGGUCAUUCACUUGGGAGGCUCCAGUGUCCAUUCACUGUCUUAAAGCUAGCUUUUCAGAGCCUAGGGAGGCCAUCUUUCCCUGCCUGAAUGCCUUUUUUGUUGCAAAACAGUGAACUGUUUCUGAAGCCCAGCAUAAAGGAGAUCCAUAUUCUUUUCAGAGGGCAAUUGAAGGCUAAGAACAAUUCAAAAAGAAAUAUCCCAAAUGUGCUACUGCCGGGAGAGUUGGUCACUUCACUCCAUCUCAGGCUGGCAAAACCCUAUCCUUCUGAUACAGGUUGGUUACAUAUCCCUCAGCAUUC